GAAAUGUUAGGAAUCUCAGGAUCAAAAUAGGAAAGUGUUCAUGGCCCAAAGGAAGGUAGGGUCUGGCCUUGGAAAAGAAUGGCCCACGGUGGCUUCACUACACUGCUGACUCGGGCCUGGCAUUCACUGGCUUUGACUGUGGACCAGCACCCCAGUGGUUACUGAGUGACACGUGGGUGGUUGACAUCUUGCUGAGGGGUGAAUGUGAACUCCGCUGACCUUGAGCUGGAGGAAGAAAACUGCACAACUGCCCACUGCCCUAUUCCACCACCUGAUUCUGCAGCACAGAUGCAGCAAGUCUCGUAAGAUCAAAAUGCUGUUUCUUGUACUUCCUCAUUCCUGCUCCCCUCUGCCUAUUAGUCCAUCUUGCAGAGCUCCUGGGCGCUCCUAUCAGGUAGAUGGGAUGCUGCCAAAAUCGUGCAUCACUGAAUGAGGCACGCAGUGUGAGAGAGAGAGAGAGAGGCAGAGACACAGGCAGAGGGAG